rnacentral:lncRNA from 1 species
GUUUAACAAUUUUCUUUAUUGCUGGAAUAAGUCUUAACCAAGAUCAAGAUCAAAGUACUUCACUAAGUUAUAUAUGCAGGCAUUGCAAUACUUUGGCUUCAUCUAAGCUUGAGCCAGCCCUCUGUUGUAUAUUGUUUCUUCUUCUUCUUUGAUCUUUUUCCUUUGAUUAAUGAGAGGUGAUGAUGAUUUGGCAUUAUCUUUUCACCAGGAUGAAUUUUGUUUUUGUAAUUGUAAUACUUUGUGUGUAU